ACUACCUCUGCAUAUUUAAUGAUCACAAAUCCAGCAAGUUUAUGUCUUCGACCCCACAAAUCCUUGUUUUUCUGCUCAGUUUAUGAUCCAUACAGAUGUCAUACAGAUCUAGAGCACUGCGAGUUUAUACUAAAAA
rnacentral:sRNA from 1 species